AUGCACGCUGGCGGCGUGCCUCAUACAUGCAAGUCGAGCGAACAGACGAGGAGCUUGCUCCUCUGACGUUAGAGGCGGACGGGUGAGUAACACGUGGAUAACCUACCUAUAAGACUGGGAUAACUUCGGGAAACCGGAGCUAAUACCGGAUAAUAUAUUGAACCGCAUGGUUCAAUAGUGAAAGACGGUUUUGCUGUCACUUAUAGAUGGAUCCGCGCCGCAUUAGCUAGUUGGUAAGGUAACGGCUUACCAAGGCAACGAUGCGUAGCCGACCUGAGAGGGUGAUCGGCCACACUGGAACUGAGACACGGUCCAGACUCCUACGGGAGGCAGCAGUAGGGAAUCUUCCGCAAUGGGCGAAAGCCUGACGGAGCAACGCCGCGUGAGUGAUGAAGGUCUUCGGAUCGUAAAACUCUGUUAUUAGGGAAGAACAAAUGUGUAAGUAACUAUGCACGUCUUGACGGUACCUAAUCAGAAAGCCACGGCUAACUACGUG
rnacentral:rRNA from 1 species